rnacentral:rRNA from 1 species
GUCUGUUUGUAGAUAUAAAAAGUCUAGCCUGCCCACUGAUAAAUAAUUUUAAGGGCCGCGGUAUUUCUGACUGUGCAAAGGUAGCAUAAUAGUUAGUUUCUUAAUUAGAAUCUUGUAUGAAUGGUUUGACAAAAAAAAAUCUGUCUUAUAGUUAUUUAUUGAAUUUAACUUUUAAGUGAAAAGGCUUAAAUAAAUUAAAAAGACGAUAAGACCCUAUAAAGCUUAAUAUUAUUUGUAUUAUUUAAUAAAAUUUUUUUAUAUAAAUAUUUGGUAAUAAUUUAUAUUUUAUUGGGGUGAUAAUGAUAAAAUGAUUAUUAACUGUUAAUUGAUUAAAACAAAAAAUAAAUGAAUAUUAAAAUUUAAAUAUGUAAAUGAUCCUAUAUUAAAGAUUAAAAGUUUAAGUUACUUUAGGGAUAACAGCGUUAUUUUUUUUGAGAGUUCUUAUCGAAAAAAAAGUUUGCGACCUCGAUGUUGAAUUAAAAUAUCUAUAUAAUUGUAGCAGUUA